rnacentral:rRNA from 1 species
GAUGAACGCUAGUGAUAGGCCUAACACAUGCAAGUCGAGGGGCAUCACGGAGUAGCAAUACUUUGGUGGCGACCGGCGCACGGGUGAGUAGCGCGUAUGCAAUCUACCUACAACAGGGGGAUAACCCGGAGAAAUCCGGACUAAUACCGCAUAACACAGGGGUCCCGCAUGGGAAUAUUUGUUAAAGAUUUAUCGGUUGUAGAUGAGCAUGCGUUCCAUUAGGUAGUUGGUGAGGUAACGGCCCACCAAGCCUGCGAUGGAUAGGGGAACUGAGAGGUUUGUCCCCCACACUGGAACUGAGACACGGACCAGACUCCUACGGGAGGCAGCAGUGAGGAAUAUUGGUCAAUGGGCGAGAGCCUGAACCAGCCAAAUCGCGUGAAGGAAGACUGCCUUAUGGGUUGUAAACUUCUUUUGUACAGGAAUAAAAAGAGGGACGUGUCCUUCAUUGCAUGUACUGUACGAAUAAGCAUCGGCUAACUCCGUGCCAGCCGCCGCAGUAA